CCUCUCAAUUUCAUCAUUUUUUUUUAAAGACAUAAAUUGAUUUUUAUUACCCAGAACUUUGUUGGAAUUUUUGCUAAUCACCAGAGUAAUCUUUAAGUUAGAUACAAAUCUAUCAGCAAUGAGUUCUAGGUAAUAAAAACAUAAUCCUUAACAGUAAUUAUCCUGAAUUAAGUUGCAUUCCUAUAAAGAUAGUAUUGGAUUAUUUCUGCAAGGUCUGCUUAUAUUUAAAAUAGAUUAACUCAUAGCUUUUUUUCCCCACCAUAUAUUUUAUGGAGAACUCACACAGGGCAAGUGCUUACAAGGUGGUCAGAAAAAGUGAUUCAAGAACACUCCCAGAAUCUCUCUUAAGAUCUUUAAAAUUAAUUGUAUGACAUGAGAAACCCUAGCAUAGAAGUGCCCAGCAUGGUUUGUUCUCAGAGAAAGUACUGCACUCUAUGAGAAAGCAGAAUUGAAGUUGCUCAGAGGAAAUAUGAGAUGCACACAUUUAGAGUAUCCAAUCUGUGGUAGAGCAUUCCUAGCUCAUAUUUGUCUAAUCAGUCAGUUGGACAUACUGUAACUCAAUUUUAACAUAAUGAUGUCUUUUUGGCGCUCCUUGACAAAGGACAUAGCAUAGGGAAGAGAGGACGAUGGAUGAAGAGAGCUAAAGGAAAGAAGCAGGUCUCUUCUACUUGCUUAGUUACUUAGCAACUUAGUGAGUAGAAGUAGGUCAGCAACAAGUAGGGGAGAGAACCUCAGAAUUUCUGAGCCACCAGAAGGAAAGGAAAUAAAAAUAGAAACAGCUUUUAGUUCCCUUGCUUAGCUGCAAGGCAGGAGAAUAGUGAUAGAACAGAGCCACCAGGUGGUUUUUCUCUUGACAGCACUCAGGCAAGAGAGAGUGGAGCCAAUUUGCUGCUUCUUUCUGGGGAGGGACAAACCAAGACAGUGACAGGAGGAAAUUCUGAUCCAGGGUCCAAAAUCUACAAGUUCUGCUUACAUUUCUGGUUAUACUAGGUUGUGCACUCAAUCAUUUCCCUUCUCUACUUUUCAUAGAGUAAAUACAGUGCUUAUCUGUAUUAGAAAUAGUAUCUGUCCAAAUUGAAAGCUGUGCAAACAGAUGUGUCAGGAAUUGUGCUAGGUACCUGACAUACAAAUAUAGCAAAUGAAACUUUUCCUAGUUCCUAGUUGAACUGGGUUUAUACUGUAGCAAAGGAGACAAAAAGAACACAUAAGUAAAUACCUACAAAAUAAAUACAAAAAGAACGAAUGCAAAUUAAUAUGAAGUAAUGAUGUACAAAGAAGGGGGAUAAUUGAUGGAAAGAUACAGAGAUGUGAAAUGGGAGCCUUGAGGAACAGAAAAUGGCAAUUUGGCUAGGUUAAAGAGUAUUGUCAAAUUAGGAUGAAAAAAGAAGGGCCGGGCUAGGCGGUGAAAAACUUCUAAAUGGAGGGAUUUUUAGCUUUAAAAGCUAAACAGAAGUAAAAAAGUUUAUUGAGUUAAGUAAGACACAGUCAUACUGUAAGGAAAAUCACCUUUGAAGCAGUAUACAGGAUAGAUUGAAGUAGGGAGACACUUUAGACAAUUAUGACAUCAGUUUAGGAACGAGGUGGUGAGGACUUGAGGUUAUAAAUACCUGAACUAAGGUGGUGACUGUAUGGAGAUUAGAUAAGAAAUGUUUUGAAAGUAGAAAAGGAAAGAUUUGGCAGUUGAUUGUAUAUGUGGGGUGAGAGAGAGGAUUCGAGAAUAAUGCCAUGGUUGUGUUGAGGGGGAGAAAUGUUGAGAGGAUUUUUGAUCCUUACCCCGCAACCUGUCAGAACCGAAUUAUGGUCCAUUCCUGGAAGUCUCACUCACCCGAGCUCUAACCCCACCCUGCUGUAUUCCCCUGAUGGCUGGAGCUCUAUAAGAAUCCCUGGAAUCCAUCACAUGCUGCUGGAUGCUUUGAGACACAAGUCCAAUUCAGCUGCUGGGGCUAACAUGGAUCCUGUUUUGCACCCACCACAGUCUCUCCCUCUCAAAUAAAAUAUUAAAAACUC